rnacentral:rRNA from 1 species
UACGUAGGGUGCGAGCGUUACUCGGAAUUACUGGGCGUAAAGCGUGCGUAGGUGGUUUGUUAAGUCUGAUGUGAAAUCCCCGGGCUCAACCUGGGAAUGGCAUUGGAUACUGGCAGGCUAGAGUGCGGUAGAGGGUGGUGGAAUUCCCGGUGUAGCAGUGAAAUGCGUAGAGAUCGGGAGGAACACCUGUGGCGAAGGCGGCCACCUGGACCAGCACUGACACUGAGGCACGAAAGCGUGGGGAGCAAACAGG